AUGGGUUCCCCGUCCAGAGCCGCCCUGGUGCUCGCGCUGCCUCUCCUUUGCCUCCUGUCAGGGGCGACGAUGCGUGCGGAGGCGGCCAGGAUGUUCACGAUCAUCAACAAGUGCGAGACGACGGUGUGGCCGGCGGUGACGCCGGGGGACAGCUUCGGCGGGGGCGGGUUCGAGCUCAAGACGGGGCAGUCGGCCGUCUUCACGGCGCCGCCGGCGUGGUCGGGCCGCAUCUGGGGCCGCACGGACUGCGCCUUCGACCAGGCCGGCACCGGCAAGUGCGGCACGGGCGCCUGCGGCGCGGCCCUCAAGUGCGGCGCGUCGGGCGACCCGCCGGCGAGCCUGGCCGAGUUCACGCUCGCCACCACGGACUUCUACGACGUGAGCCUCGUGGACGGCUUCAACCUGCCCAUCACGGUGACCCCCGUGAGCGGGCGCGGCAACUGCUCCGUGGCCGGCUGCGACGGCGACCUCCGGGACACCUGCCCCGCCGAGCUCUCCGUGAAGGGCUCCAACGGGAAGACGGCGGCGUGCCGGAGCGCCUGCGACGUGUUCAACACCGACCAGUACUGCUGCCGCGGCAAGUUCGGGGGGCCGUCCACCUGCCCGCCCACGCCAUACUCCAAGAAGUUCAAGGAGGCCUGCCCGUCGGCGUACAGCUACGCCUACGACGAUCCCAGCAGCCUCUUCCAGUGCUCCGGCGCCGACUACGUCAUCACCUUCUGCGCAAACAGGAAGCAAUCGGUGUGCACGCACCACAACAACAAGCUCGAGUGCGAUGCCUCAAGCCGACACCUGCCGAUCAUGUCCGCCAUGAUGCUGCUGGUGCUGCUCGUCAGCUUUGUGGCACUGUAG
rnacentral:rRNA from 1 species